UCGUUCAUAGCUAAACCUGCGAAUUUCAUAUGAUUUGUUUUUUUAGUUGCAUUUUAUUUGUUGUGGUGGUUUCAUCAUCAAAGAAUUGGUUGGAGGAUUUCAAAUAUGCACAUGAGCAGGUUGCAGGAGUUGCUAUGAUCUUUGAGGUGCAAAGAAGUGCUAGAUCAAAAGCCAGAAAGGAGGAAGUACGCAAACAAGAACUUGAGGUUCAAAUAGACAAAUAUAUUUAAUGUUAAAAAAAUGGUCACUCUCAUCCCACAGCCCGCAUCCCACUUGCCAAGCAAAGGAAAUGGUCACUCUCACGGAUUGGGAAGUUGUGGAGGGGCCACAAAUCAGAGUUGAAGGAAAAGCAUUGCAACCUGAACACAACUAAGGAAUAUUUACUUCAACUAUCACUGCCGGAGGUUGAUGACACUCAAUUUCAUGGCUUGGUGGAGUAUUGGUUCUCUAAAGAUUUUAAGGAGCUGUCAGAAGAUAACAAAGCGCGGCGUGGCAAGUAGACAAAGCUGCAAACGCUCGGAUCCAGAAGCAUGGCCCAGACGACGGAUAUCAUUGCAAAAAAGAAAGGCAAGCAACUAGAGAGAAGUGAGAUGUACGCAGUGGCGUAUUCUCACCAUGAUGGUGUUGCUGUGAAUGCCACUGCGGAAGCGAACAUUGCAAAGAUGAAACAUCUUAUGACAGAGGGGUCACAGUUGCGGGGAAAUGACAUUGAGGCAGGCAUACUUUGGCAGCCCGACGAUGCAUUUGCACAGGUCCUCGGUGCAGAGAGAAGUGGUUGUGUUAAAGGGGUAGGCUUUGGUCCAACCCCCUCUAGAAAAUCGUGCGAGGUCAAUGGAUGAUAGUACGCCACCUCUAACAUCUACUACAACUGAACAAAAGGUUAUCGAGUUGUCUACUAAAGUAGAAGAAAUGAAGGAGAAAUGCGCGUGUUAUGAUGCUGAAAUGAAGGAGAAAUGUGCGCAUUAUGAUGCUAAAAUUAGGUUAAUGCAGAGGAUGUUGACGUCACUGUACCCAUCGUUUCCCAGUCUGUCUACGGAUGGUGAUGGUGAUUCUGCAGUGGAUAUCCAGUCUCUCGGUGCUCAACACUUAUCAUUUGAUGAUACGCAAUAGGCAAUACUUUUGGCACCUAUUUUGGAGUAGUUAUUAUGAUAUUUUGAUAUUUAUAAUAAAGUUUCAAACUUUGAUACAUAUGUACACAUCAUAGUUGGAAACUUUAUUAUAACAUUCUAGACAAUUAGAAUGUAUUCUUUUGUGCAGGACAUUCUAUAUAGUUAGAAUGUAUUC